CGUGUCUCCUUCACAGUAGUUAAUAUUUUGGUAAAGAACAAAGAUAAGGACUUGGUAAGAUAUCUACUGGAAUCAGCAAUGUAUCUUUGCUUGUAAGUAUAUUUGUGAAGGUUUGGAAUCUAGUACAGUUACAGUAAUUCAUGUCCAUUCGUCUCAUUAACUGUUCGAUAUUAAAUGUGUGUAAAACUGAAGCAUGAUUUUGAAGAAUUUCAUCUUUGGGAAGGAUAGUUUGAGUAUACGUAGAAGUACUAAUUGUGGAAUCGAUGCUAAGUCCCUUUACAAUACAGUUGUAAUAAUGUACAUUACAAACAAAGACACUGUUCUGACAAGCUUUGACAGCUUUAACCAAAACAUAUUCAUCAAGUAACCCAAUCUCAUUCUUUUAUCACUUCUUGUUUACUGAAUAGAUGGAACGUCCUUCUGUUAUGAUGUGUCUAAAAACAAUUAUUUAUGUUUUUAAUACUCCUGUGAUACUUUUAUCCAUUCUGACAUGUUAUCAAGUUCUUCUUUUUUCAUAUUUAGCCCAUCUUCGAUAGAAUCACGUAACAGAACUUGAAUUAUGCUGGAAUACAAGUAUUUCCAUGACGAAGAAUGUUGAUUAUGUUGAAGGCAUCGAUUUCUUUGCUAGUAAAUUUAUUUUUUAAGAGCUGACGGCAUGAUUCGGAAGAAUUAUCAUCCAUAACCCGCGGUAUUUUCAAGAGCAUGUGAUGGGCAACAUCCGUAAUCAUAAAAUUCAGUUGAUGUUGAAAAAUCCAAGUACUGACUGGCUAUGGCCUCUUCAGAUAACAUAAUUAUUCCAAACUCUCGAGGCGACAGAGUAAAGUUUUGUGCUAGUACUUGAUGGACCUAAUUUCCUAUUGACAGAACUAGUUUUGAAUAAAUUCGAGGAGGUUGCAAUAACGAUUCAGGAAAAUGGCUGAGGACUCCAUGACAAAGAGGAAAACGGCUAACGACUUUAUGAGAGAGGAGAACUGGCAGACGAGUUUAUGACAGAGGGGGAAAUGGCUGAGGAGUUCGUGACAGAGCCGAAUAUGGCUGAAUAGUUCAUGACAGAGAGGAAAUAGUUGGCUUUCACAACUUCUUUUGCUCGGAACACAUGCUGGGAAUCAACUGUUCCAUAUCCUGGAAUUAAAGAGGAUCGCACCUGAGGUUUGGAGUAAUGCAAUUUUUUGGGGAAGUAUAUUUUUGAUUUCUACAAUGAAGAAGAAUUUGGAAAUUGAAAAAAAAAACUGGGCUCGCAAUGCUUGUUAUUGAUCUACAUUGUUCUAAACAAUAACUUAUUUGGACUUCUUUAUGCAAUUAAACUUGAUUUGUCUGUUGGUGUCAAAACAGUAUAAACAACACAAAUCAAGCAUUACAAAAAAUAGAUACAUGAUUAUGUCUUCUAACAAUGCAGAUUAAAGAAAUGACACUAGUAAUGGAAAUAAUUAAUGACAUUUUUGCACUUGAUAUGCGAAAAUUUUCAUGAUAUCAAAAUUGAAAGCUUAAAAGGACAUAUUAUGAGUAAUGUCAAUUUCUAAAAUUUUACAUAAUUUUCAAAGUCUGGUCUUACAAUUUAAAAUGGAACUAAAAAGUGGGGAUUGGAGAUGGAAUUCUUAAUUUAUUGGCGAAAAUACUUAAUCUUAUACAAAAUUUGGAGUAAAUUAAUUAAAAUGUUUGUUAAGAAUCGGUUGUCUGCUUAAAAAAUAUAUCAUCCAAACAGAUAUAUUACAUUUGAACUAGUUCCAAGUCUCAACUAUCUAUAUCAUAAAGUAUAAGACUGAAAUUCACGUAUAGGAGUAUAAUAUAGACGAUACAUUGAAUGAAACAGAAUCUGUAAUAUUAUGCAGAUUAAGAACUUCUUUGAUUAAUGAAUCCUUCCGCCACAAAAUAUACUCCCUGCCAAACCCUUUCAAAAUUUGAAUUGAUACCACAUUUUUCAAAUGGAUGGGGUUCAGUGAUAGAUGUGUAAUAUGUUUGUACUAAUGGAAUCAGUAUUGAGCCAGUAAAUACUCAGUUGUAGCAUCCUGAGCAGUUGCCCUCAGAAGUCCAGGAGGUAACUUCCUUAAUUUACCUGCGAGAAAGUCCAUUAUCUGUUUCCAUAUGUCCCAUUGAUUGGUCGUAGGUUCAGUACUUGUUCCUACCGUUGAUUGGUUGAUGAAUGCUGUAGAAUGAAUCACAAUAACACUGAGACGUACAUCCCAAUACAUACCACACUUAACAUGACAUUCGUACGACACACAUUGAUAGGGCUGUGAUGUGCCAAGUAAUGGGCUAUCGCUAUAAAAGCAAACAUUGAUAGGGCUGUGAUGUGCCAAGUAAUGGGCUAUCGCUAUAAAAGCAAGCAUUGAUAGGGCUGUGAUGUGCCAAGUAAUGGGCUAUCGCUAUAAAAGCAAACAUUGAUAGGGCUGUGAUGUGCCAAGUAAUGGGCUAUCGCUAUAAAAGCAAGCAUUGAUAGGGCUGUGAUGUGCCAAGUAAUGGACUAUCGCUAUAAAAGCAAACAUUGAUAGGGCUGUGAUGUGCCAGGUAAUGGACUAUCGCUAUAAAAGCAAGCAUUGAUAGGGCUGUGAUGUGCCAAGUAAUGGGCUAUCGCUAUAAAAGCAAGCAUUGAUAGGGCUGUGAUGUGCCAAGUAAUGGACUAUCGCUAUAAAAGCAAACAUUGAUAGGGCUGUGAUGUGCCAAGUAAUAAACUAUCGCUAUAAAAGCAAGCAUUGAUAGGGCUGUGAUGUGCCAAGUAAUGGACUAUCGCUAUAAAAGCAAACAUUGAUAGGGCUGUGAUGUGCCAAGUAAUAAACUAUCGCUAUAAAAGCAAACAUUUCUUCUAUGUUAGCAGUGACUUACGCUGAACUUAACGAAUGAUAACUUUGACAUGAAAUAUCGAAUAAGUUUCAAACAAGAUCUUAUUAGCCUUGAGAUACUGGACCCAUAUUGAUAAAACAAAUUGGGAUCCUCUUGAUACCAACGAAUAGACAGUAAUUUAAAUGAUUUAUAAGUACUUACUUAGCGUUGUAUCGGUCAUUUCAUUGACAUCUAAAGCAUUCACUUGAGUUAGAUUAAUAUGUUUUUCGUCUGUAUCAGAGAAUCUGAAAUAAAAUGUUCCUAUGAAAGGGAGGGUAAAUUCCCAUUUGAAUAUUCACAGCUGUGCCACAAUUUAUUCGUUUGAGAGUACUUGAUCAGGACAUCCUCAGUAACAUUUAGCAAACGUUGAUUUUGUCUCAUUGAGAUUUGUUUCUUCACCGAUGCAAGCACUAGUACUAGAAUACUGAAAACAGAGAGAUUUCAAAGGUACACUAAAUGGUUUUUCUCAUGUAUGUUAAGUGACAUUUUGUAUUGCUUAUAGGAGUUAUGAGAUUGAUUGCUGUUUGUUAUCUUCGCCUUUCAUGGUAGGGUUUCUCAUUAUAAUUCUUAUGAUUAUCAAAGUACACGUAGAGAACUUUUGUAAAACUACCAUACUUUUGUUUGUUCACUGUAAUGAAAAGUGUUAAAGUCAUACACCAUUUAACAGUCAGAAGAAGAGAACUGUUUCACAAGCAAACCCGACGCACAAUUUACAUGUACCCAUAAAGAAUACUUUACUUAACAUCGGGAUCACGUUCUCAUAACAUCGCUAAAUAUCGGAAUCGUACACUAAUACCAUCGGUAAACACUAGAACAUGCUCUAACAACAUCGUUAAAUAUAGGAAUCAUGCUGCAAUAAUAUCGGUAACCAUCGGAAUCAUGCUCUAACAACAUCGCUAAAUAUCGGAAUCAUGCUCUAAUGACAUUGGUAAACACCGAAAUCAUGCUCUGAUAACAUCAUUAAACAUCGGAAACACUGUAAUAACUUCAGUAAACAUAGGACGCGUGUUUUUAUAGGCUUUGAAGUCUUUUGCAAUGAUUUAACCAUUUUCCCAUACUAAAGCAUUUGGAAUGAUUUAUCAAAAUUCUGGUGUUUACAUUCAUCAAUGUCCUGUCAAUAACACUCCUUUGUAGAUUAAAAUGCUUACACUUCCUCAUGUAGGAAUUCAUGCUUAUGUCAGACGAAACUUACUUCGUUUAGAAAGUUAUACGGAAUAUAAAUUACAUAAAGAGAUUCUAUUUCUUAAGUUUAACAUUGAUAGAUUGAUCAGUGAUAUUAUUAGAUUAAACGUACCUCUUUGUACACUUUUUGCUAUCAAUUCCAGUACAUAAAUAUGUGUUAUGUGUAUUGACGACCUUCCUGUUCACAACACACUUUACAUGUAAUAUUUCUAUUUCUAUGUAAUUGAUUUCCGCUACAUUGUAUGUUAUGUAGUACAACUCGGUACCUAAUCAAGGAUGAUAUGGUUAAGACCAGUACUUAUAAUUAGCUUUCAGGGGUAACUUUAUAAACGCAAUUAGGGACAUAUUCAGUACACAUGACAAACUUCUCUGUUUUCAAUAUUCCUGUACAAAAUUGAAUGAAUAUGCAAGACAUGUAAGAAUAGUUAGCAACACUACAAACUCAAUUCAGUCAAGUUGAUCAAAUAACGAUUUGUUACUGGGUAUUUGGUAUUUGUUUUCAGAGCUUUCUUGUAUAUAGACACUCGUUUCACUAUUUUCACACAUUAAUUGAAAACUUGUUCUAGGUACAUUAGGUUGGUACAUAAGAAUCAAUAAAUAUUCUACAGUAAGGAAACUUUCAAACAUCCUCCAAUUUUGUCGUCAACUGUAAACAUAUAGCACUAGCUUAAGAAGUCUUCAAAACUAGGAAGAAACAUUUGCUUGUAGAAAAAGUCCUUAAAAGUAUUUGUAAAUAUAUAUUUUUUUCAAUGGCAAGUAAUUUAGUAUAUUCAAAUACAUUUCUUAAAUUAUGCGUAAUUGCAUUACCCUUUUUAAUUUUUUUUUAUUCUUAAAACUUUUUAUAACGAAUUAAGUAUAAAGAUAUGCAUUUGGAAUAGAAAGUAUAGUAUGGAAUAUAUGAGAAACAUUUCAAUAACGAGUCCACUCCCACUGAUGGACGCAAUGUUGAUAGAAAUACGAAUCCAUUGUAUGGGUAUGAUACAUAUUAUUGUUGAUCAGAUCUUUAUAGAAUAAGAUGUAAACUUACCAAAUCUACACAGAACUCCAACAAACUUGCAACAGUUCAAACAUCCCCUGCAAUCAUUCUAAGUAAUAUGUAUACAUAAAGUUUGAAAUGAGCAAAUAUAAUGUAAUGAUUCAUAUCUUCUACGGUUUGAGUUCAGUGGCAAAUGCCUGGGUGGGAAAUAUGAAUAUAGAAUAUUUUGGAAGUAUAGGAAAACACCUCCUAAAACUGCUAUAUAGUUUAUCCCCAAUUUUCUCUAUACAAUUAUCACAUCCUAACGGUUAAGUGAAAGCUGCUUUAAAAUGAUAAUACUGUCCUAGUCUAUUUAUUUCCUGUGUAAAUAUCUACCCUGGACUAAUUGUGUAACAAAUCAUAGGCAAAUUGGUAAAUUUAAAACACGAAUGCGUUCAAUGGCAGUGCAAAUCAUUUUAGCUCUUCACAACAGGGUGGAGGCCCGGGUCAGAAUAGAUCCUCAGUGUCCCUUGCUUGUCGUCGGAGGCGACUAAAUGGAACGGUCCUUUGGAUAAGACCGCAAAAACCGAGGUCCCAUUCGAAAGCGGGUGUGGCACGAUAAAGAUUCCUCCCUGAUUAAAGGCCGUAAAACACCGAGCAUAGGCCUAAAUUUUAUAGCCGUUUACCGGCAAUGGUGAUGUCCUAAUGUGGGUUAACAUUCUCGAGGGGGACGUUAAAGAAAAGAAAAUCAAUCAAUCACAACAGGGGGUGCUUACUCCUCUUAGGAGCUGAUCCCACCUGUGCUGUUUCCAAUGCUCCGUGUUUGCCGUACUAUUAAUUUAAUUAAUUCACCUUUUUAUACUUUAAAUAGAUAUAUUAACUAUCCAUUUUAUAUUGCUUGUGAGAGUUAUGGGAUUGAUCACUGUACUUUAUCUUCGCCUUUCAUAUACAAUUAUCAAAUCAAAGCUAAACUACGCAGGUGAGUAUGCAACCCAUGGAUCUCUUAAGUUAGUAUUUCAAUUACUUUCGAUUUUGUAUUUCUUAUAGGAUUGAUGACAUGGAACGCUGUUCGUUAUCGUUACCUUUUCCCAUUUGAAAGCCUUAUUUGGGUUACUAUAGAUCUUCCAUAUCCUUGCUUGUCCUAAAAGGCGACGAAAUGGGGCAAUCACCCGGAUGAUACCACCAAAAUAUGAGGUCCCGUGUCACAACAGGUGUGGUACAAUAAAGCUCUUUUCCUGUUCAAAGACCAUAAGCGCCGGGCAUAGGCCUAAGUUGUGCAACCCUAAACCGGCAAUAGUGACGUCUCCAUUUGAGUGAAAGAUUAUCGAAAGAGACGUUAAACAGUAUACAAUCAACUAACCAGCUGAAUGCAAAAAGAUUCUGUUUAAAUGAUUAGACAAUAAAAAAAACUAAUGAUGAU